UACGUAGGGUGCAAGCGUUGUCCGGAAUUAUUGGGCGUAAAAGAGCUCGUAGGCGGUUUUGUUGCGUCGGCUGUGAAAUCCCGAGGCUCAACCUCGGGUCUGCAGUCGAUACGAGCAAACUAGAGUGUUGCAGGGGAGACUGGAAUUCCUGGUGUAGCGGUGAAAUGCGCAGAUAUCAGGAGGAACACCGGUGGCGAAGGCGGCUCUCUGGGACGGUACUGACGCUGAGACGCGAAAGCGUGGGGAGCGAACAGG
rnacentral:rRNA from 1 species